AGUCGAACGAGCGAGAGAGAGCUUGCUUUCUCGAGCGAGUGGCGAACGGGUGAGUAACGCGUGAGGAACCUGCCUCAAAGAGGGGGACAACAGUUGGAAACGACUGCUAAUACCGCAUAAGCCCACGGCUCGGCAUCGAGCAGAGGGAAAAGGAGCAAUCCGCUUUGAGAUGGCCUCGCGUCCGAUUAGCUGGUUGGUGAGGUAACGGCCCACCAAGGCGACGAUCGGUAGCCGGACUGAGAGGUUGAACGGCCACAUUGGGACUGAGACACGGCCCAGACUCCUACGGGAGGCAGCAGUGGGGAAUAUUGCACAAUGGGGGAAACCCUGAUGCAGCGACGCCGCGUGGAGGAAGAAGGUCUUCGGAUUGUAAACUCCUGUUGUUGGGGAAGAUAAUGACGGUACCCAACAAGGAAGUGACGGCUAACUACGUGCCAGCAGCCGCGGUAAAACGUAGGUCACAAGCGUUGUCCGGAAUUACUGGGUGUAAAGGGAGCGCAGGCGGGAAGACAAGUUGGAAGUGAAAUCUAUGGGCUCAACCCAUAAACUGCUUUCAAAACUGUUUUUCUUGAGUAGUGCAGAGGUAGGCGGAAUUCCCGGUGUAGCGGUGGAAUGCGUAGAUAUCGGGAGGAACACCAGUGGCGAAGGCGGCCUACUGGGCACCAACUGACGCUGAGGCUCGAAAGUGUGGGUAGCAAACAGGAUUAGAUACCCUGGUAGUCCACACCGUAAACGAUGAUUACUAGGUGUUGGAGGAUUGACCCCUUCAGUGCCGCAGUUAACACAAUAAGUAAUCCACCUGGGGAGUACGACCGCAAGGUUGAAACUCAAAGGAAUUGACGGGGGCCCGCACAAGCAGUGGAGUAUGUGGUUUAAUUCGACGCACCGCGAAGAACCUUAC
rnacentral:rRNA from 1 species